UUCUGCUUCUAGAGGCGAGAUGCCACUUUUUUGUGAAAUUUUCUCUAUACCCUUUUCUUGAAAUGGGCUAAUAUGGUAAUGAGCCCAAUCACUAAGCCCAAAGUUUGAAAAAGCAUAGAGAGGUUACGAUAUUUCCUUCAUCUCUUACCAACUAUCAACUACCCAAGUCCAACGUCCCAAAGGCGAAAAAGAAAAACAAAUAUAAACAAAAGCGGCGGAUUUCCCGAAGCUGCCAAUAUCGAUUUCCCUCUUUGAAAAACAAUAUCGAAAACAACCAAUUUACCUUCUCAAAAACACUUGUAAGGUUUCUGUUUCAUUCCAACAUUCUUGCGGAAUUGGUUGAGGAGAUCAGCAAAUUCACCAUUAUCACUAGCACUGAACUGAACUGACGGAAAGUUUUCAUGCAAGGGUGAACAUGAAACUGAUCAAGUGGCAACAGAAACUUAGGAAGCUCCAAGGCAUAUUGGGAGAAAAGGUAAACUUUUUUACUUGAAAGCAUUGGGCACGAUUCGCCACAUUGAUCUGUUUCUUUCCUUUUCUCCUUUCUUUGACAGCUUGAUCUGUUUUCUGUCAUCCAGCAACCUGUGUGACUGACAUGAUUGAUUGCAAGAGGCACUACUUUAGCUCUGUAUUAUGCUAGUUAUUAACCUAUCUUAUGUUGCUGUAUCAUUUGCUUUGAAAAUAUACCUGUCUAGUUUGUUUCAGAAGGAAGAGCUAAGCAACAGACCAUGGUGGGGCAGGUGGGCAGUAGAUACCUGUUAGAAUAACUGUUUGCUGAGUAGGCUCUUCAGAUCAAUUUUCUUGACUCAGGGAAGGCACUUAUUUGGUGGUCCUAUCAGUUUCAUCCAUCUUUUUGUGUCAGAUAGCCAUUUUUACUUGCCAAUUGAGGUCAUCAAGUUACUUGUAGUCAUAUUCCUCAUUAUCAAAUUCUUUAAUCCCUAAACAUGUAGAUUACACAAGGAAUUGAUACAGGACAUCUCAAAAGCCUUUUUUUCUCUUGGCUACUAUUAGGCUUUUAAAUAAAUAAGAAUUACAAUCAAUGCUUGUGCAAAUGAUCGCUGCAACUGAGGAAGGCUCUCUUUCUUAAGCAUUGAAAGCUAUGGAUAGAAUUAUCUGGUUUCCUCUUCUAUUUAUAUUUUAGUCCAUUUUUUUAACUUAUUAUGAGAUGGAAGAAUAUUGCACACAGUGGUGGAGCUAGCUUGGAGAAGUUAAAACAAGUUUUUUUGGUUAUACUAUCCAAAUAGUGUUGGAACAAGAUUUUUGGUUAUAUAGAAGCUGUUGAAAUUUUGAAUUCCCUUGACAUGAGAAAAAUUCUAGCAAGGGACAAAGAGGUUCAAAAAUUGCUUUAGCUCACAUGUUCAAAUCCCAAAUUUAACUUUAUUGAAUCCCGUUGUAUUAAAUCCUGGUCUAGCCACUGAUUCCAUGGGCAUUCUCUCUUUUAUUCAAUGAUAUGCAUGCUUGCAUGCCUUCCUUACAUUGUUUCCUCCUGACGAAGUUAUUCUUUCACUGCAGAAUUGGUGAUAGAAAUAUCUGUGGUGAUUCCCUUGUGUCUUUAUGGAAUUUAUGGUGGAACGUUGUUUUGAAUAGACAUACUAUAUGUUGUGUGCUACAUUUCGUAUUAGAAUUUGAAAUAUUAUGCAAGUGUGAUGUUUGUAGUUAAAGAACUAUUAUUUCUGGGUGCACAUGGUACUUUUGGCAUGUGCAUAUUUUGAGAAAUUGAAAACAUAUCUUGCAGGUUUGAACGAUAGAAAUAAUGAAGGUUCUGGUUCUCGUCACACAUAGGUGGUGCAGAUUGUGUUUGAGGUACCUAAUAUCAAGGAUGUGGAGAGAGUAAUACUGAAAAUGCUAUACUCAUGAUUAUUGGAUUCAGAGAACUAUUACUGUUAUCCUAGGAAUUUCAACACUUGGCUCAUUGAUGAGUUGAAAUCGUUUCCAACAGCGCUAGCGAGUGGUCUUAUGGUGGGUUCUGCGGUUCAACUAAACCUAUUGUCUUCGGCUAGAAUGAUGUAUAUACAUGGAGAAUGAAAAAUUUAAAUGUAUAUAUAUAAUAAGAUUACACUCACCGUGAAUCCACUAAUUCUUGAUCUUGUAUUGGAUUCGCCUUGGUUUC